UUCGCUCUCAGGCCCCGGCCCUGACGAGCUGCACUGCGGCUGCGCUGGCGACUGCGGUGGGCGGGGAGCCCGGACUCGCUCUUCCCCGCCAGAGUGUCGCUGCCCCUAUGGCCCUGGUUUCAAUUGCUGCAGGAAGGAACCAGAUGUGAAAUGGAUUAGAAGUACAAGCUUGCAGGAGACGGCUGGGUAGCCCCGAGCAAUCUGCUUUUUACUGAGACAGUAUAAGACAGGUACUUCAUGUCAGGAGAGAGAGAGAGAUGAACUUGGAGCCCAGAUACUUUCUCCCUCACAACCACUUGAUAAUAACGACUUCUGCCUCCACCACACCGGCCACGAAGAGUCCCUGCUCGGCCACCAGCUCUGCCUCUUCCGUGCUGUUGCCAGCAUUUUUACUGAGUGUGUGGAAGUUCUUCAGUCACAAGUUCUCCCGUGUGAAGGACACUUUUGAUGUCAGUACCAUUUUGGAGGCUAGAACAAAUUGUUUUCCUACUUGCAUGAAAAUUACCAGGCUGACAUCGUACAGGCUAAAAAUGUUCACAUAGCAGGGCUUCUAUAAAUAGAUCCAAAAUACUAAAUUGUGUUGAGUGGGAUUUCACAACAGCCAUCAGAUAUCUACAUAUGGUUUGUAAAACUUGUCCAUGGAAAAUGUGGCCUGCUAAGGUAGUGGGGCAUGCAAAGUUGAGAAGUUUCCUGAGAGGAAAAAAAGAAAAAGCCUCACAUAUAAAGGUUUACUUGCUUCAUUGAUUGAGGAAAAGAGCAUAAUUCUCUAAAGGCGAGGUGUCUCUUUGAAGGGGACAUACUCGAUGAACAUCACUUCUCAUUCUACAAUGGAACACAUGGAAGCUUAGACAGCGGCAGACUUGGACCUCUUCCUGAAGACCCAA